rnacentral:rRNA from 1 species
UACAGAGGUCUCAAGCGUUGUUCGGAUUCAUUGGGCGUAAAGGGUGCGUAGGCGGCGCGGUAAGUCGGGUGUGAAAUCUCGGAGCUUAACUCCGAAACUGCACUCGAUACUGCCGUGCUUGAGGACUGGAGAGGAGACUGGAAUUCAUGGUGUAGCAGUGAAAUGCGUAGAGAUCAUGAGGAAGACCAGUGGCGAAGGCGGGUCUCUGGACAGUUCCUGACACUGAGACACGAAGGCCAGGGGAGCAAACGGG